GAUGAACGCUGGCGGCGUGCUUAACACAUGCAAGUCGAACGAGAAGUGAAGACGGAACCCUUCGGGCGGAAGGCUUUAUUUCGAGUGGCGGACGGGUGAGUAACGCGUGGGUAACCUGCCUCAUACAGGGGGAUAACAGUUGAAAACGACUGUUAAUACCGCAUAAGACCACAGCACCGCAUGGUGCGGGGGUAAAAACUCCGGUGGUAUGAGAUGGACCCGCGUUCGAUUAGCCAGUUGGCGGGGUAACGGCCCACCAAAGCGACGAUCGAUAGCCGAUCUGAGAGGAUGACCGGCCACAUUGGGACUGAGACACGGCCCAAACUCCUACGGGAGGCAGCAGUGGGGAAUAUUGCACAAUGGGGGAAACCCUGAUGCAGCGACGCCGCGUGAGUGAAGAAGUAUUUCGGUAUGUAAAGCUCUAUCAGCAGGGAAGAAAAUGACGGUACCUGAGUAAGAAGCCCCGGCUAACUACGUG
rnacentral:rRNA from 1 species